rnacentral:rRNA from 1 species
UCUGGUUGAUCCUGCCAGUAGUCAUAUGCUUGUCUCAAAGAUUAAGCCAUGCAUGUCUAAGUAUAAAUAGUAUACAGUGAAACUGCGAAUGGCUCAUUAAAACAGUUAUAGUUUAUUUGAUAAUUGACAAUUACAUGGAUAACCGUGGUAAUUCUAGAGCUAAUACACGCUUAAACGCCCGACUUUAUGGAAGGGUGGUAUUUAUUAGACUGAAGCCAAUAUUCCUUGUGUCUAUUGCGGUGAUUCAUAAUAACUGAUCGAAUCUCUUUUUGAGAUAAAUCAUUCAAGUUUCUGCCCUAUCAGCUUUCGAUGGUAGUGUAUUGGACUACCAUGGCAGUAACGGGUAACGAAGAAUUAGGGUUCGAUUUCGGAGAGGGAGCAUGAGAAACGGCUACCACAUCUAAGGAAGGCAGCAGGCGCGUAAAUUACCCAAUCCUGACUCAGGGAGGUAGUGACAAGAAAUAGCAAACCGGGAACCUCAUGGUUUCACGGUAUUGCAAUGAGAACAAUUUAAAACCCUUAGCGAGAAUCAAGUGGAGGACAAGUCUGGUGCCAGCACCCGCGGUAAUUCCAGCUCCACUAGCGUAUAUUAAAGUUGUUGCAGUUAAAAAGCUCGUAGUUGAACCUCUGUCUGGGGCUAGUUUUGGCUUUGGUCAGGCUAGUUCUAGGCAUCCGCCUACAAGACUUAGAGGGCAUUCAGUUGUUCACUAGGAGGAGUAGGCAUUUUACUUUGAAAAAAUUAGAGUGUUUAAGGCAGGCAAUCGCCCGCAUAUAUUAGCAUGGAAUAAUAGAAUAGGACACUUUUCCAUUUCGUUGGUUAUUGGAAUCGUGUAAUGAUUAAUAGGGACAGUUGUGGGCAUUUGUAUUUAAUUGUCAGAGGUGAAAUUCUUGGAUUUAUUAAAGACAAACUAACGCGAAAGCAUUUGCCAAGGAUGUUUUCAUUAAUCAAGAACGAAAGUUAGGGGAUCAAAGACGAUCAGAUACCGUCCUAGUCUUAACUAUAAACUAUUCCGACUCAAUGUUUGACUGGCUUAUAUAACCAGUUGAGCGUUGUAUGAGAAAUCAAAGUCUUUAGGUUCUGGGGGGAGUAUGGUUGCAAAGCUGAAACUUAAAGGAAUUGACGGAAGAGCACAACCAGGAGUGGAUUCUGCGGCUUAAUUUGACUCAACACGGGGAAACUUACCAGGUUAAAACAAUAGUGGGAUUGACAGUUUGAGAGCGCUUUCUUGAUUGGUUGGGUGGUGGUGCAUGGCCGUUCUUAGUUGGUGGAGUGAUUUGUCUGCUUAAUUGCGUUAACGAACGAGACCUUAACCUGCUUACUAGACUGGCGAUCAUCAAUCGUUAGCUC